CAAAACAAGUUUUUAAUUCGAACCAUGUUAUAUGCCAAACGCCGCAGCAACAAGAACAAUUUUGCUUUCUUUCGUUUGGUAACAGCGUCCAAUUCAAGGGUGCAAAGUCUGAAAUUUGUCAUUACUUACUUUAAAUAACGUCCAAACCAACGAAAGGAUGCGUGUUGCGCUGUAACAGACGAGUGGGAAAUCAAAGCCUGGAAUGCUGGGUGAGCUCCGGGGAAACUGAUGGAGGGGUUACGUCUGGACCGGAGGACGGAUACUUCCUGUUCCUGCUGGAGUGACCUGCUGGUCUAAGGAGGGGCGAGAGACAAAGAAAAGAAACUGGAGAGAGAAGGUGGCCAGAUGAGUGGCAGGGAUCCAGAGGGUUCCACCGCUCGCAUUCUCGCACCCAGAAUUCUUUGCAAUGUUGUGGACCAGCUGCUUCUUUGGCUACCUGAGCCUAAAUAACACCCCCCACCAAACACAAGACAUGUACACAUACAUAUGCUUAGAGUAAUCUAUAUGUCCCGGAGCUCAAGGCCUUACUGUUCAUAUGCCUUUGUUGAAAUCGCCUACAUUGUCUUGUCGGUGCCAUAGGCUUCUGACUAUUGUCUGGUUGCAAGCACAAUAACAAGCUCUCUGAUCCAGAUAAUAUAUGUGUUCAUUAUUGAUAGAUAUAUUCUUAUCAAAGCAAAGCUUUAAGCUCUUUAUUUCUCGGUCUGCAUCUGCUUUGAAUGGACAUCUAUUUUAGUUUUAAAAAAAACAUUAUUUCUUGGCAAAGAACAAGUGUAUUGCAUAAACAGACAUUAUUGAUUUUUAAUUUUUCCAAAAAUAU